rnacentral:misc_RNA from 1 species
GAUGAAGAACGCAGCGAAAUGCGAUAAGUAAUGUGAAUUGCAGAAUUCAGUGAAUCAUCGAGUCUUUGAACGCACAUUGCGCCCCCUGGUAUUCCGGGGGGCAUGCCUGUCCGAGCGUCAUUGCUGCCCUCAAGCACGGCUUGUGUGUUGGGCCGUCGUCCCCCUCCUAGGGGACGGGCCCGAAAGGCAGCGGCGGCACCGCGUCCGGUCCUCGAGCGUAUGGGGCUUCGUCACCCGCUCCGUAGGCCCGGCCGGCGCUUGCCGACGACCAUCAAUCUCUUUCUCCAGGUUGACCUCGGAUCAGGUAGUGAUACCCGCUGAACUUAAGCAUAUCAAUAAGCGGAGGA